GACGAACCGUGCGAACGUUAUUCGGAAUCACUGGGCUUAAAAGCGCGUGUAGGCGGGCCGGCACGUCGGUCGCUGAAAGCCCCCCGGCUCAACCGGGGGAAGCGGCGCCGAUACGACCGGCCUGGAGGGGGGGUAGGGGGGACCUGGAACUUCCGGUGGAGCGGUGAAAUGCGUUGAGAUCGGAAGGAACGCCCGUGGCGAAGGCGGCCCUC
rnacentral:rRNA from 1 species